rnacentral:rRNA from 1 species
UGCGCGCGGUAAUUUGACCGUGCAAAGGUAGCAUAAUUAUUAGUCUUUUAAUUGAAGGCUUGAAUGAACGAUUGAAUGAAAAAUAAACUUUAUUAAUUAAAAAAAUUGAAAUUAUACUUUAAGUAAAAAUUCUUAAAUAUAUAAGUGGGACGAGAAGACCCUAUAGAGUUUAAUUUUUAUUUUAAUUAUAAUAUUAAAGAAUUAAUAUUUUUAUGAUUGAAAUAAUAUUUUUUAUUGGGGUGAUAUUAAAAUAUAUUUAACUUUUAAUUAAUAUUUCAUUAAUUUAUGUUUAAUUGAUCCAAAAAUUUUUGAUUAUAAGAUAAAAUUACCUUAGGGAUAACAGCGUUAUUAAUUUGAAGAGUUCAAAUCGAUAAAUUAGUUUGCGGCCUCGAUGUUGGAUUAAGAAAACAUUUUGGAGUAGUAUUUAAAAUAUUAGGUCUGUUCGACCUUUAAAUUCUUACG